rnacentral:misc_RNA from 1 species
CCGAGAUAGGGUUUCUUCGGAGCCCGACCUCCAACCCAUUGUCUAUUAUACCUGUGUUGCCUCGGCGGGCCGCCGACCGUCCCCUUUCUGAGGGGCAGUCGCCGUCGGUCCUCUUCUGGGCUUUCGAGCGCCCGCCGGUGGAUUAUACAAAAACUCUUUUAUAAAACCAGUAAUCUGAGUGGGAAUUGAAUAGCUUCA